GGAUUGCAGCAGCACAUAUACUAAAAUUGGAACAAUACAAAGAAGAUUAGCACGGCCCCUGCCCAAGGAUGACAUGCAAAUUUGUGAAGCAUUCCAUAUUAAA
rnacentral:snRNA from 1 species